ACAGGCCGAGAUGCAGUAACCAUGUUUCAAAGAUAUUUCAUCAUGCUCACGGCAUCCUCACGUGGCGGCAGAUGUUCCCGUGACCUUGAUGUUUUGCUGUGAUGUUACCUAUGGACCAGGGAGCUGCAUAAAAAAUAGAUGAGUGCUUUGCAUCUUCUUUCACUGUAAUUGAAAUAUUUGCAUGACAGUAUGCAUAUGGAGUAUUAAAUUUUUUUUGUUGCCUUUCAGCAGCAAUUUCAUUGUUCACUGGGAGCUGACCUUCAGUUGGAAGUGAAGGUCACACAUUUUAUACCAUAUGCAGACAAUGCUUUCAAAAGAGAAAAGAAAAGUCCAGUUUGCAAGUAUGUACGGAAAGAUGCUGCCUAUCAUUGGAAGUGAAGGUCACAGAUUUUACAGUUCCUCCGAGAAACAACACGGACGCAUGCUGUUCGGAACCAGCUGCACUACUUCAUACUGAGUUACCUUGCACGAGUGGCAUUUUAGGACGUCGAGAAGGAGCAUGCGACCUACUUAAACCCCGCAAGAACACAAAGGCCUUUUUGUCAAUUGCAUACAUUUAAUAAUGAAAGCUAUUUUUCCACACCGCUGCGCUUUCCGUGAAAAGCAAAGAACGAGAGAGAGCACCUACAGUAAUGUCUUAAUGGGGUGCCCUACUUUUUGAUUGUCUGGAGGAAAUAUUUGGAGAAAAUUCAAAGUAAAAAUGAAUAAAUAACAAAAUAAACAUCGCAAGAAGGAUGGCGCGCAGCCCACACUGUGCUGCAUCAUCAGAAUAGCAGGACGAGAGGUCAGGAUGCAUUACGCUCUGCUCGCCAGACACAUCGCUGAGAUGUUACAAGCGCUUAUUUUUGCUCCAUGUCCUCGGGACAGAUCUGUUAUAUCUUUGGUGUCGUUUGGAGAUCGUGACUAAAUAUAAGAAAAUGUAUUGUAUUAAACGGGCUGCAUCGGAGUAGAAAAGAUAUUGUCAAAUGUGCCACAAAAAUGUAUGGUCUCCAGGACUGGACAAAAGGAUUAAACGUCUGAAGAGUGAUUCAGCACAAAACUAGGUUGAACAAAAGAUACAUCUGUCUCAAUCGUCUGUAUUGUCUGUUCGUCUGUCUCUUUUUCUAUGUGUGUGUGCUAUCUGACUGUCCAUCUCUUUAUCUUUCUAUUUGUCUGUCUUUAUCUUCGUCUAUCUGCAUUGUCUCUCUGUUUGUUUGUAUUGUCUUUCUGUCCAGCUCUCUAUUUGUCUGCUUGUAUUAUCUGACUUUCUAUGUAUUUUCUGUCUGUCUCAUUGUAUUGUCUAUCUCUUUGUCUGUUUAUAUUUUCUCCGUCUCCUGUUUGUUUGUUAUAUGUCUGUCUCUUUUAUCUGU